rnacentral:rRNA from 1 species
CAGUCGCCGCGGUAAUACCAGCAGCCCAAGUGGUGGUCGCGAUUAUUGGGCCUAAAGCGCUCGUAGCCGGGCCGGUAAGUCCCUUGUGAAAUCGGACGGCCUAACCGUUCGGCGUGCAAGGGAUACUGUCGGUCUUGAGGCCGGGAGACGUCCGAGGUACUCCGGGGGUAGCGGUGAAAUGUUCUGAUCCUCGGGGGACCACCGGUGGCGAAGGCGUUCGACGAGAACGGGCCUGACGGUGAGGGGCGAAGGCUAGGGGAGCAAACGGGAUUAGAUACCCCGGUAGUCCCUGUCUCUUAUA